rnacentral:lncRNA from 1 species
AUGGUUUAUUUGAAAUCCAUAUGACUUGGACAAUUCACCAGAAUGGAUAAAAAUUAAAGACUCUUCCCAAGGAUGGCUACUCCCUUCACUCAAGGCAAACACCUCAAGCUUGGUAGAGAGAGGCAAGUGUUGUAGGAUUACACCACCUCAGCCAUCAUUCUCGUCAUCAUCUUUGGAUAUCAUCCUCAGCCAGCAACCGAUGACCUCAUCGGAUUAAUAUCGAUCUCUUGGUC